AGUCCAAAAACUAAAUAAGAUACUAAAACACCCGCUCAUAUGAGAAAAUGUCAUGAUCAUCUCAUAUGAGCGGGUGUUAUUAUGUUCAUAUU
rnacentral:misc_RNA from 1 species